rnacentral:rRNA from 1 species
UACGUAGGGUGCGAGCGUUGUCCGGAAUUACUGGGCGUAAAGAGCUUGUAGGUGGUUUGUCGCGUUGUUCGUGAAAUCUCACGGCUUAACUGUGAGCGUGCGGGCGAUACGGGCAGACUAGAGUACUGCAGGGGAGACUGGAAUUCCUGGUGUAGCGGUGGAAUGCGCAGAUAUCAGGAGGAACACCGGUGGCGAAGGCGGGUCUCUGGGCAGUAACUGACGCUGAGGAGCGAAAGCGUGGGGGAGCGAACAGG